UGCCUGUUUGCCAGUACUGACAUCCUAAUUGUAUGAAUUUCUUAUGACUAAUUUUAGAGAGCAAAGAGGCGAAUAUAUCACAAUAUCCUCUGGCAAUUUGGAAACAACUCAAGAGAUUUUGUUGGAAGUUGUUGGGGAGGAUGACUUCAGAGAGCACAUCGAUUACUGACGAGCUGCACCGGCGACAGCCAGGCCUCCCCAACUUUAUGGAUCGUAUGAAGCACAAGCUAUAGGCCUACCAGAGGGUGGAGAACAUGAGCAAACCAGCUGAGGAGGUGGUCGAGAUGUUCCCCUUUCUCAAAGUGUAAAAACUUAUGCAUCAUGAAAUGAGGUUGCGUUUUGGUCAGGACUUGAGCUGAGCCUUCACCAUGCCCUUAGUGUGAUGACACCCAACAUUAUAAGAAUCGCUCAAAGAGGGAGUCAGAGGUGGCUGCUGUCAAGCCUGCAGGGAACAGAGGAUAACACAGACAAUUUACAAAGAAGUGCUACUAUACUUAUUCAAGGAGACCUCCAAGUUUCUACACUGCUUAGAUGA